CCUACGGGUGGCAGCAGUCGAGAAUCAUUCACAAUGGGGGAAACCCUGAUGGGGCGACGCCGCGUGGGGGAAUGAAGGUCUGCGGAUUGUAAACCCCUGUCAUGGGGGAGCAAAUUAAAAAGAUAGUACCACAAGAGGAAGAGACGGCUAACUCUGUGCCAGCAGCCGCGGUAAGACAGAGGUCGCAAGCGUUGUUCGGAAUCACUGGGCGUAACGGGUGCGGAGGCUGUUUCGUAAGUCGUGGGUGAAAGGCGCGGGCUCAACCCGCGGACGGCACAUGAUACUGCGAGACUAGAGUACUGGAGGGGGAACCGGAAUUCUCGGUGUAGCCGU
rnacentral:rRNA from 1 species